GCAUUAGUAGCUCAGCAUCAGAGCGCCGGUCUUGUAAACCGGACGCCGGGGGUUAGAAUCCCCCCUACUGCUCAAAAAGGAAGGAUUCUAACCUCCACCACUGGCUCCCAAAGCCAGCAUUCUCAAUUAAACUACUUCUUG
rnacentral:tRNA from 1 species